rnacentral:rRNA from 1 species
CUUCGUGCCAGCAGCCGCGGUAAUACGAAGGGGGCUAGCGUUGUUCGGAAUCACUGGGCGUAAAGCGCACGUAGGCGGAUUUACCAGUCAGGGGUGAAAUCCCGGGGCUCAACCUCGGAACUGCCUCUGAUACAGUAAGUCUAGAGUCCGGGAGAGGUGAGUGGAAUGCCUAGUGUAGAGGUGAAAUUCGUAGAUAUUAGGAGGAACACCAGUGGCGAAGGCGGCUCACUGGCCCGGUACUGACGCUGAGGUGCGAAAGCGUGGGGAGCAAACAGG